rnacentral:sRNA from 1 species
UCUGUAACAGUGUCGGGAGAAUUGUGAAACGAGUCAGUCACUAUUAAAAAUAGAAAAAAGUUGAAGCCGCCGUGAAGUGCCGAGAAAGAAAAAAACCCGACCAGCCGCUAAGAAGACCCCAAAACCGACAGGGUCGGCCAACGAUGUUGAAGAUUGUGUAAUUUGUGUGGAGGCGAUGAAAAAUCCUUUCAAACUGACCUGCGGGCACUCCUUUUGUACGGAAUAUCUCCGAUGGGCGGUCAGAUUGAAAGCUGAAAAUGAAUAUGCAACCAUCUCGCUUCGAGAAAAUUCUCAGAACAGCUGGCAAGUAAAUAGUUCGUUUUGCCGUGAUCUACUAAAAAAUAUGGCGACUAAUAAGAAGGACAAGCCAGCUGAAGCUGAGGAAGAAACUAAGACGGGCAGCGCUGAAGACUUUUGCUCGAUUUGCUAUGGUCCGAAAGUGGAUCCCUUUGCAUUGCCCUGCAAGCACACGUUCUGUAAUACUUGCAUAGAAUAUCUGGUUGCACAGAGGUCUUACUAUUUGGGUGAAAUUAUUCCUGACCCAGUCAUGCGUUGUCCAGUGUGCCGCGAAAGGUUUCGCUCAAAAAAAGCUGUUGCCACUUCCCCCCAGCCAUAGUUCUGAACACAUAUACUCACAAAAGCCAAAUAAAUUUUGAUUAAUAAUUAUAA